CCCUUGGUUACCGCUGGCCGGGAGAACACAGAAGGCAAAACAAACACUGGACUGGCUCCUCACUGCUGGGAACAAUUACAAGACCCAGAGACCCUCUUUCCACCCCGCACAGAGACCCCCGGCAGAGCAAGGCUGGAGUUUCAGAGGAAGUGGGGCACACAGUCCCAGGUGGGCCGAGUGCCACUUCAGUGCCCAAGGUGCUUCACAAACCUCAUCAGGAGGCAGCACUGGCGGGAAACAGAGUCGGACUUAAAAAAGGAAGAUCCAUUUAUGAAAGGCCAGGCCUCAAACGGUAAGAAGCUGGGCCAGGUUGCUAUCCAGGAAAUGACUCAUGUCUCCCUUGGUCCCUUGAGGCUGCUUGGGAACAGACACUGACGAGCACACACGGAGAUGCUUGAGAUUCUCAAGAGGAAGGCAGCCUCCGGUGACACCAGAAGCUGGGACACCUGGGGUGGCAGGUGCCCAGCCGGCCCCCAAGGGCGACUCAGUCCACACUCGCGGGUGAAGCACCAUUGAAACCAAAUCAGAAUGCCACAGAGCUGGGUGCCAGGGCUCUUCUCCUGCAGCCACCCACACUUCCUGUGACCUCGGUCACCCUCUGUGCACUCAGGCUGCAGAAACCAGCAAGCUGACUUCAGGCCCCAGACACUUCAGGGAACAUGCACUUAUUAGGGCCUCCUGAUCAAUACAUUGAACGGCCUGAAAAAGCAUCUACCUUCCAACUGCAUUUGAAAACCCUGACUGGGAAAAAAAAAAAAAAAAAGAAAACCCUGACUGUGACCUUGACCUUGAAAUAUUGGUUUCUGUGACAGUGUGCUCCCUGCUCUGCAAGGCUCCCACCCAGCUCCUUCGCCAGUUUUUCCUCCUUUCCUUAAUCACAGAUGUUGCUCUCUCCGUGGGCUCCUCUGCUCUCACGGUUCCAGGAAGCAUCUCCCCUUGAAAUUGACACAUCACCCUUAUGGUGACCACAUCAUUGAACUGCAUGACUCUUACGGCAACCCUGCCCUGCAUCCCACACAGCUCCCUGCCAGACUCAAACGUGGCCCCCUCCCAGCCUCUGCAUCUCUGCCAAGUUCUGUCCUCCUUCUCCUGGUCAGUCACCCAGAUUCAAACCCCUCAUCUUCCUGGAUUCCUCCUCUCCUUGGCCUUCCACAUUAUCAUCAAAUGGUAGAAAUCUCACCCCCCAGAGUUGCCCAAAUCUGUCCCCGACUCUCACAGUUCAAGUCAUCAUCACCUGCAAAGUUAGUGUAGGAGUCUCCAAAAUUGGUCUCCUUGCCCACAACACCUCUCUGACCCUGUCGGAUCUUCCUAAAACACUCUCAUUUAGAUAUUAGUCUUUUUUUUUUUUCAUUUUGAAAAUAUGUAACUCAAACAUGUACAAAAGAGACACAUAUUUUCAGCACCUAAAAUGAACCACUGUCAACAGCUUGUCACAUUUGCUUCUAGUCCUUUUACUGCAUAAUGGUCAAAUGGCCAGAGGACCUGAUGAAGCAACUCAGGAACAAAAAUUAAAUGCAAGUGAUAAGCUUAUACGAAAAAAACACCUGACCUGUCUGGUAAACAGGGAAACAAAAAAUAAAGUACUAAUGAGUGAUCCAUCACCUUGCACCC